rnacentral:rRNA from 1 species
UACGUAGGGGGCAAGCAUUGUCCGGAUUUAUUGGGCGUAAAGAGCGUGUAGGCGGCCAGGUAGGUCAGCUGUGAAAACUCGAGGCUCAACCUCGAGACGUCGGUUGAAACCACCUGGCUAGAGUCCGGAAGAGGAGAGUGGAAUUCCUGGUGUAGCGGUGAAAUGCGCAGAUAUCAGGAAGAACACCAGUGGCGAAGGCGGCCGACUGGUCCGGUUCUGACGCUGAGGCGCGAAAGCGUGGGGAGCAAACAGG